GUGCCAGCCGCCGCGGUAAUACGUAGGGUGCAAGCGUUAAUCGGAAUUACUGGGCGUAAAGCGUGCGCAGGCGGUUAUAUAAGUCAGAUGUGAAAUCCCCGGGCUCAACCUGGGACCUGCAUUUGAGACUGUAUAGCUAGAGUACGGUAGAGGGGGAUGGAAUUCCGCGUGUAGCAGUGAAAUGCGUAGAUAUGCGGAGGAACACCGAUGGCGAAGGCAAUCCCCUGGACCUGUACUGACGCUCAUGCACGAAAGCGUGGGGAGCAAACAGGAUUAGAUACCCUGGUAGUCCACGCCCUAAACGAUGUCAACUGGUUGUUGGGUCUUCACUGACUCAGUAACGAAGCUAACGCGUGAAGUUGACCGCCUGGGGAGUACGGCCGCAAGGUUGAAACUCAAAUAAAUUGACGG
rnacentral:rRNA from 1 species